rnacentral:rRNA from 1 species
GAUGAACGCUGGCGGCGUGCUUAACACAUGCAAGUCGAACGAGGAAUUUUAAAUGAGACUUCGGUGGAUUUUGGGAUUCCGAGUGGCGGACGGGUGAGUAACGCGUGGGCAACCUACCCUGUACAGGGGGACAACAGCUGGAAACGGCUGCUAAUACCGCAUAAGCGCACGGUAUCGCAUGAUACAGUGUGAAAAACUCCGGUGGUACAGGAUGGGCCCGCGUUGGAUUAGGUAGUUGGUGGGGUAACGGCCUACCAAGCCGACGAUCCAUAGCCGACCUGAGAGGGUGACCGGCCACAUUGGGACUGAGACACGGCCCAAACUCCUACGGGAGGCAGCAGUGGGGAAUAUUGCACAAUGGGGGAAACCCUGAUGCAGCGACGCCGCGUGAGCGAAGAAGUAUUUCGGUAUGUAAAGCUCUAUCAGCAGGGAAGAAAAUGACGGUAC